rnacentral:rRNA from 1 species
UACGGUGGGAGCAAGCGUUGUUCGGAUUUACUGGGCGUAAAGGGCGCGUAGGCGGUAGCACAAGUCAGUUGUGAAAUCUCCGGGCUUAACUCGGAAAGGUCAACUGAUACUGUGCGACUAGAGUGCAGAAGGGGCAACUGGAAUUCUCGGUGUAGCGGUGAAAUGCGUAGAUAUCGAGAGGAACACCUGCGGCGAAGGCGGCUUCCUGGACCGACAAUGACGCUGAGGCGCGAAAGCUAGGGGAGCAAACGGG